ACAGACAACCAGGAGGUUGGCUUAGAAGCAGCCACCCUUGAAAGAGUGCGUAAUAGCUCACUGGUCAAGUGAUUCCGCGCCGAUAAUGUAGCGGGGCUUAAGUUAUCCGCCGAAGCUGUGGCAACCUGUGUGGUUGGGUAGGGGAGCGUCGUGUCAGUGGUGAAGCUGCCGGGUGACUGUGUGGUGGAGUUGAUGCGAGUGAGAAUGCAGGCAUGAGUAGCGAAAGACGGGUGAGAAACCCGUCCGCCGAAUGACCAAGGGUUCCAGGGCCAGGCUAAUCCGCCCUGGGUAAGUCGGGACCUAAGGCGAGGCCGACAGGCGUAGUCGAUGGACAACGGGUUGAUAUUCCCGUACCGGCGAAGAACCGCCCAUGCUGAGCCCGGUGAUGCUAACCACCCAAAACUGGCCGAUCCUUCGGGAGAGGUCAGCGGAGCGUGGGACCCGAACCGGUAGUAGGUAAGCGCAUUAACAGGGGUGACGCAGCAGGGUAGCCACCGCGUGGCGAUGGUAGUCCACGUCUAAGGGUGUAGGGCGAGGUGUAGGCAAAUCCGCAUCUCAUACGAGCCUGAGACCUGAUAGUGACCGCGUAUGCGGGAAGUAGGGUGAUCCCAUACUGCCUAGAAAAGCCUCGGCGUCAGGUUCUAGCCGCCCGUACCCCAAACCGACUCAGGUGGUCAGGUAGAGAAUACUAAGGAGAUCGAGAGAAUCGUGGUUAAGGAACUCGGCAAAAUGCCCCCGUAACUUCGGGAGAAGGGGGGCCCUAGCGUUGAAGCCACUUGCUGGCUAGGCGCGACGGCCGCAGAGACCAGGGAGAAGCGACUGUUUACUAAAAACACAGGUCCAUGCGAAGUCGCAAGACGAUGUAUACGGACUGACGCCUGCCCGGUGCUGGAAGGUUAAGAGGAACGGUUAGCCGCAAGGCGAAGCUGAGAAUUUAAGCCCCAGUAAACGGCGGUGGUAACUAUAACCAUCCUAAGGUAGCGAAAUUCCUUGUCGGGUAAGUUCCGACCU
rnacentral:rRNA from 11 species